rnacentral:rRNA from 1 species
UCUGCUCAGGAUGAACGCUGGCGGUAUGCAUAACACAUGCAAGUCGAACGGAAACCUUCGGGGUUGAGUGGCGGACGGGUGAGUAACGCGUGAGAAUCUGSCAWCAGGKUCGGGACAACAUCKGGAAACCGAUGCUAAUACCGAAWGUKCUCWACAGUAAAARAUUWAUCKCCUKUWGRWGAGSUCGSGKCMGAAUURSCUAGUUGGKGGGGUWAGAGCCUUACMAAGGCGAWGAUYMGUAGCUGGUCUGAGAGGRCAACCAGCCACACUGGGACUGAGRCACGGCCCAGAMUCCUACGGGAGGCAGSMGUGAGGAAUUUUCCMCMAUKGGCGAAAGCCUGAUGGAGCAAUACCGCUUGAGGGAAGAAGGCUUAUGGGUCGUAACCCUCUUUUCUCAAGGAAUAACACUGAAGGUACUUGAGGAAUCAGCAUCGGCUAACUCCGUGCCAGCAGCCGCGGUAAUACGGAGGAUGCAAGCGUUAUCCGGAAUGAUUGGGCGUAAAGCGUCCGUAGGUGGUUUAGUAAGUCUGCUGUUAAAGAGUCUGGCUUAACCAGAUAAAAGCAUUGGAAACUACUAGGCUUGAGUGCAAUAAGGGUAGAGGGAAUUCAGAGAGUAGCGGUGAAAUGCGUAGAUAUUCUUAAGAACACCGGAGGCGAAAGCGCUCUACUGGGUUGCAACUGACACUGAUGGACGAAAGCUAGGGGAGCGAAUGGGAUUAGAU